CAGAGGGGGCAAGCGUUGUUCGGAAUUACUGGGCGUAAAGGGCGCGUAGGCGGCCCGCUAAGUCGAACGUGAAAUCCCCGAGCUCAACUCGGGAACUGCGUCCGAUACUGGCGGGCUUGAAUCCGGGAGAGGGAUGCGGAAUUCCAGGUGUAGCGGUGAAAUGCGUAGAUAACUGGAGGAACACCGGUGGCGAAGGCGGCAUCCUGGACCGGUAUUGACGCUGAGGCGCGAAAGCUAGGGGAGCAAACGGGAUUAGAUACCCCGGUAGUCCUAGCCCUAAACGAUGAAUGCUUGGUGUGGCGGGUAUCGAUCCCUGCCGUGCCGAAGCUAGCGCAUUAAGCAUUCCGCCUGGGGAGUACGGUCGCAAGGCUG
rnacentral:rRNA from 1 species